rnacentral:rRNA from 1 species
AGCGAAAUUUAGUAGCGAAGUAGCUGAUUUCACACUGUCAAGAAAAGUCUCUAUCGAGGUUAAAGGUACCCGUACCGCAAACCGACACAGGUGGGUGAGGAGAGUAUCCUAAGGCCAGCGAGAGAACUGUGGUUAAGGAACUCGGCAAAAUGACCCCGUAACUUAGGGAUAAGGGGUGCCACCAUCAGGUGGCCGCAGAGAAUAGGCCCAAGCGACUGUUUACCAAAAACAUAGGUUUCUGCUAAGUCGCAAGACGAUGUAUAGGAGCUGACGCCUGCCCGGUGCGGGAAGGUUAAGGGGAUCUGUUAGAGCAAUCGAAGCAGUGAACUUAAGCCCCAGUAAACGGCGGCCGUAACUAUAACGGUCCUAAGGUAGCGAAAUUCCU